rnacentral:rRNA from 1 species
GAUGAACGCUGGCGGCGUGCCUAAUACAUGCAAGUCGAGCGAACAGACGAGGAGCUUGCUCCUCUGACGUUAGCGGCGGACGGGUGAGUAACACGUGGAUAACCUACCUAUAAGACUGGGAUAACUUCGGGAAACCGGAGCUAAUACCGGAUAAUAUAUUGAACCGCAUGGUUCAAUAGUGAAAGACGGUUUUGCUGUCACUUAUAGAUGGAUCCGCGCCGCAUUAGCUAGUUGGUAAGGUAACGGCUUACCAAGGCAACGAUGCGUAGCCGACCUGAGAGGGUGAUCGGCCACACUGGAACUGAGACACGGUCCAGACUCCUACGGGAGGCAGCAGUAGGGAAUCUUCCGCAAUGGGCGAAAGCUUGACGGAGCAACGCCGCGUGAGUGAUGAAGGUCUUCGGAUCGUAAAACUCUGUUAUUAGGGAAGAACAAAUGUGUAAGUAACUAUGCACGUCUUGACGGUACCUUAUCAGAAAGCCACGGCUAACUACGUG